GACGAACGCUGGCGGCGUGCUUAACACAUGCAAGUCGAACGGAAAGGCCCCUUUUUGGGUACUCGAGUGGCUAACGGGUGAGUAACACGUGAGUAACCUGCCCUCCACUUCGGGAUAACUUCAGGAAACUAGGGCUAAUACCGGCUAGGUAUCCUUGCUGCAUGGCGUGGGUUGGAAAGCUUCGGCGGAUUUGGAUGGACUCGCGGCUUAUCAGCUUGUUGGUGGGGUAGUGGCUUACCAACGCUUUGACGGGUAGCCGGCCUGAGAGGGCGACCGGCAACAGUGGGACUGGGAUAGGGCCAAGACUCCUACGGGAGGCAGCAGUGGGGAAGAUUGCAAAAUGGGAGGAAGCCUGACGCAGAAACGCCGCGGGCGGGAUGACGGCCUUCGGGUUGUAAACCGCUUUCAGCAGGGGCGAAGCAUGUAGUGACGGUACCUGAAGAAGAAGCACCGGCUAACUACGUG
rnacentral:rRNA from 1 species